rnacentral:lncRNA from 1 species
UUUAAACGCGUAAGGUCAUGAGAAAGGUGUCUCUUGUGGUUGCCUCGCAAAAAGGAGCUGGGAAUUCCAUUUUUACACUCGGAAUCACUUUGUUCUUCGUAGCUUUCAAACUCACUUGAACUCCAUCCAUACUCCAGUGAGCUGUUUCCACCAUCAUCACCAUUUUCAACAUCAUCAUAAAUCAUUUCCUCUGGUUCAGAGUCUGAAUUUUCUCUUGGCACGUCAUCAUAAAUUACUUCAUCUGGG